rnacentral:lncRNA from 10 species
AUCCUUCCAAAGGACAGAAUUUCAGGCAGUGAUGAUCAUCCACUUGUGUAGGAAAAAAACUGACCCAAGGGUUGUUCUCAUGCACAAGAAUCAUGCGGAAAGAAUCUUCCUAGCUUUCCCUCCCACGAGAAUUAUGUACACUUGACUUGGCACAGAACAGACCUGAAGUAAAACCCUGACAUGGCCCUAACACCUUUGAAAUUUAGAAGCUUUAAGAUAUACUAACCUGAGUUACUAAAGAUCCUAAAGAAAUUUAGCUCAAUUGAGCCCUAUUGAUAGAUGUAAUAAUUGUUGGCUCUUCUAAACAUUGAGCCAUUAUUUCUAGAAAGUUAUUUUGAACUUUGCAAUUUUUUUUGUUAAAUGAUUUAUAGAGGUCAACUUAAUUAACCUCUAGACUGGCUUCAUUGAUGUACACAAUCUUUAGUCCAGGAGAACUUAAAUGUGAAUACCAUUAUAGAUAAGUGGCUUAAAAAUUUUUCUACCAUGUUACUGGUACAAAAACAGACACAUAGACCAAUAGAACAGAAUAGAGAUAUCAGAAAUAAGACCUCACAUCUACAACCAUCUGAUCUUCAACAAACUUGACAAAAACAAGCAAUGGGGAAAGGAUUCCCUAUUUACUAAAUGGUGACGGGAAAACUGGCUAGCUAUAUGCGGAAGAUCAAAACUGGACCCCUUCCUUACACCUUUUACAAAAAUUAACUCAAGAUGAAUUAAAGACUUAAAUAUAAAAUCCAAAACUAUAAAAAUCCUAGAAGAAAAUUUAGACAAUACCAUUCAGGACAUAGGCACGGGCAAAGAUUUCAACAGAAAAACAAAAACAAAAACAAAAGCCAAAAUUGGCAAAUGGGAUCUAAUUAAACUAAAGAGCUUCUGCACAGCAAAAGAAACUAUCAUCAGAGUGAACAGACAACCUAAGAAUGGAGAAAAAUGUUGCAAUCUAUUCAUCUGACAUAGAUUUAAUAUCCAGAAGGAACUUAAACAAGUUUACAAGAAAAAAACAAACAACCCCAUUAAAAAGCGGGCAAAGUACAUGAACAGACACUUCUCAAAAGAAGACAUUAUGCAGCCAACAAACAUAUGAAUAAAAGCUCAACAUCACUGAUCAUUAGAAAAAUGCAUAUCAAAACCACAAUGAGAUACAGUCUCACGCCAGUCAGAAUGGCAAUUGUUAAAACGUCAACAAACAACAGAUGCUGGCAAGGCUGUGGAGAAAUAGGAACACUUUUACACUGUUGGUGGGCAUGUAAUUUAGUUCAAUCAUUAUGUAAGACAGUGUGGUGAUUCCUCAAAGACCUAGAAUCAGAAAUACCAUUUGACUCAGCAAUCCCAUUGCUGGGUAUAUACCCAAAGGAAUACAAAUCUUUCUAUUAUAAAAAUACAUGCAUGCACCGUUCACAAUAGCAAAGACAUGGAAUCAACCCAAACGCCCAUCAAUGAUAGACUGGAUAAAGAAAAUGUGGUACAUAUACACCAUGGAAUACUAUGAAGUAAUAAAAAGGAAUAAGAGCUUGUCCUUUGCAGAAACAUGGAUGCAGCUGAAAGCCAUUAUCCUCAGCAACGUUACACAGGAACAGAAAACCAAACACCACAUGUUCUCACUUCUAAGUGGGAGCUGAACAUGGACACAGUGAGGGGAACAAUGCACACUGAGGCCUCUCAGGGGAGAGGUGGGAGGGAGAGCAUCAGGAUAAAUAGCUAACGCAUGUGGGGCUUAAUAUCUAGGUGAUGGGUUGUAACAAACCUGCACAUCCUGUAUGUACAUACCAGGACUUAAAAUUAAAUUAAAUUAAAAUUUAAAAAAAAUUCUACCAUGACCAAGAGUAAGAAAUAUAAUUUAUACAAUCACCAAGAUACAUAGACAUAUAUGUAUACAUAUAUUUAUAUAUUUAUAUGCUCACAUACUUAUAUAUCUAAAACAAAAUUGCAC